rnacentral:rRNA from 1 species
UAACCUGCGGAAGGAUCAUUACCGAGUGCGGGCCCUCUGGGUCCAACCUCCCAUCCGUGUCUAUCUGUACCCUGUUGCUUCGGCGUGGCCACGGCCCGCCGGAGACUAACAUUUGAACGCUGUCUGAAGUUUGCAGUCUGAGUUUUUAGUUAAACAAUCGUUAAAACUUUCAACAACGGAUCUCUUGGUUCCGGCAUCGAUGAAGAACGCAGCGAAAUGCGAUAAUUAAUGUGAAUUGCAGAAUUCAGUGAAUCAUCGAGUCUUUGAACGCACAUUGCGCCCCCUGGUAUUCCGGGGGGCAUGCCUGUCCGAGCGUCAUUGCUGCCCUCAAGCACGGCUUGUGUGUUGGGCUUCCGUCCCUGGCAACGGGGACGGGCCCAAAAGGCAGUGGCGGCACCAUGUCUGGUCCUCGAGCGUAUGGGGCUUUGUCACCCGCUCCCGUAGGUCCAGCUGGCAGCUAGCCUCGCAACCAAUCUUUUUAACCAGGUUGACCUCGGAUCAGGUAGGGAUACCCGCUGAACUUAAGCAUAUCAAU